GGGCGUAAAGAGCUCGUAGGCGGUUUGUCACGUCUGCUGUGAAACCCCGAGGCUCAACCUCGGGCCUGCAGUAGGUACGGGCAAGCUAGAGUGCGGUAGGGGAGAUUGGAAUUCCUGGUGUAGCGGUGGAAUGCGCAGAUAUCAGGAGGAACACCAAUGGCGAAGGCAGAUCUCUGGGCCGUUACUGACGCUGAGGAGCGAAAGCGUGGGGAGCGAACAGGAUUAGAUACCCUGGUAGUCCACGCCGUAAACGUUGGGAACUAGAUGUAGGAGCCAUUCCACGGUUUCUGUGUCGCAGCUAACGCAUUAAGUUCCCCGCCUGGGGAGUACGGCCGCAAGGCUAAAACUCAAAGGAAUUGACGGGGGCCCGCACAAGCGGCGGAGCAUGCGGAUUAAUUCGAUGCAACGCGAAGAACCUUACCAAGGCUUGACAUAUACCGGAAAAGUGCAGAAAUGUACUCCCCGCAAGGUCGGUAUACAGGUGGUGCAUGGUUGUCGUCAGCUCGUGUCGUGAGAUGUUGGGUUAAGUCCCGCAACGAGCGCAACCCUCGUCCUAUGUUGCCAGCACGUAAUGGUGGGAACUCAUGGGAGACUGCCGGGGUCAACUCGGAGGAAGGUAAU
rnacentral:rRNA from 1 species